rnacentral:lncRNA from 1 species
GUACUUAUUAGGUAUUUGUCUAUUUUAUUUAUCUAUUCAGGUCACUUUUCAAUAGUUAAAAAUCCAUUAAUUUUACUGUUUAGCUGAAUUAAUUGCAUUCUCCUACUUUUAUGUUUCAUAUUUUUGUGCUUAAUUUGUUUCAAUCUUUUAUUUUUCUUGUUAAAAGGAAUCCAUUAUUAUUUGCAUUAUCAUUGACGACUGUGAGAAUCUGCAGAAAAAAACAGUAUGGAACUACAACUUCAUGUUCUUGAGAAAAGCUUGCAGUGUAAGAUGCGUUUGUUUGUGGUGCCUGAGGAAGAGAGAAUACUGGAGGAACAUUAAAAGUCAGAGAGAUGUGCUCCUGUUCAUCUGGAAGAAAGCAAAGAAUCAUGCUCUGAACUCCUUUUUGGGGCAUGUGGCCAGGAACUGAGCGUGACCUCUAGAAGUUGAAUGUGGUUUCUAUUCAGAAGUCAGUAAGAAUAUGGAUGCCUUAGUCAUACAACUUCAGGGAAAUGAAUUUUGUCAACAAUUAAUGAGUUUGGGUAGUACGCUGAGGCUCCAAUAUGAAUUGGGAGCCCAGAUGAUUUUUAGCCGGGGGUCCUGAGCACUUUGUUACCUUGUACCAUAACUCCUGUACCAUGGAAACUGUGAAAUAAAUUUCUGUCAUUUUAAACCACUAACUUGUGGUAAUUUGUUAUUCAAAAACAGGAAACUAAUGAAAUCACUGUUAUGCG